GGUACGACUCUAGGCAACGGAUAUCUCGGCUCUCGCAUCAACAAAGAACGUAGCGAAAUGCGAUACGUGGUGCGAAUUGCAGAAUCCCGCGAACCAUCGAGUCUUCGAACGCAAGUUGCGCCCGAGGCCAUCCGGCCGAGGGCACGCCUGCCUGGGUGCCAACC
rnacentral:rRNA from 1 species